CGCGGUUAACGCCGAUCGCGGGGUCAGAGGGUUGGGGAAUGGCGGGGAACCCUGCCUGCUCCUCAGCGUUUCCCCCGCUAUCGUUAGUCAUGGUGAUUGUAGCGGGAUGACCUUUUGUUCAAAGGUUCCCACAGACGGCGCCAAUGUUAAUGUCUAAAAGUCUAGCGGUAGCUGGACCUUAGUUAACGCUGAUCCGGUGGGCGGAUCGAUACUUGUGUUGUUAUUGUAGUUCCCGUUACCUGUCAAGUAAAAUACAAUGGGCGUCAGAGGGAGACCGCGUUGGGCGGUCUUCAACUCUCCGAUGCCUAAGUUAGUCG
rnacentral:lncRNA from 1 species